UACAGAGGUCCCAAGCGUUGUUCGGAUUCACUGGGCGUAAAGGGUGCGUAGGCGGUCGGGUAAGUCUGGCGCGAAAUCUCCAAGCCUAACUUGGAAACUGCGUUGGAUACUAUCCGGCUCGAGGAAUGGAGGGGAGACUGGAAUACUUGGUGUAGCAGUGAAAUGCGUAGAUAUCAAGUGGAACACCAGUGGCGAAGGCGAGUCUCUGGACAUUUCCUGACGCUGAGGCACGAAAGCCAGGGGAGCAAACGGG
rnacentral:rRNA from 1 species